UCCCAGUAAACACUCCUUUGUCUCUCUAUUGUAUUCAUCUUCAAUUCUUUUCUUCCUUUCUUUUCUUCUCUUCCUAUUACUUGAUUUAACCCCCUGUUAAAUCAAGUCUUUUGUCUCCAAAUAACAAGGCUUUUAGAAGCAGAAGCCUUGUUAUUUUCGUCCUGGAAAUAAAUGUUUCCCCAACCGCAUUAACAAUGUUAACGCAGGAUUCCGUUCAAUUCCCGUUCAAUUCCCGUCUGAUUCUUGUUUGAUCCUUGUCUGAUUUCUGCUCAAUUUCCAUUCACUCCCCGUCUGAUUUCCGUUCACUCUCCAUUUGAUUCCGGUCCAAUCCUCACCUGAUUCCUACCGACUUUUCAGUUUAACCCUGUUUGACUACCAUCUGACUCUUAUCUGACUUCCGUUUGAUUCCCGUUCAAUCCUUGUCACAAUCCCGUCGUAUUUUCUGUUUACUUCCCGUUAAAUUCGCUAUUUUCUCCUCAAUUUCCUCCCGCAAACACUUCUCCUUCUCCCUUUCGCAUCCAAUCUUCUUUUCCCUCUCCCCGAUAAAUUUCCCCUAUAUAAUAUAAUAAUGUGUAUCUUUCCUUCCCCGGCCUUUCCCUUUUCCAUAAUCAAUUAUCAGAACCCUCCUCUCCCUCAGUUCUUUACGUUUUUAUUCAAAAUAUUUUCAAAAAAAUCCCCUUUUAUAUUUGUCUCUUAUCUCCUAAUGCCUUACUUUUGCAUCCGCUUUCCAAGAGACGGACAGCAUUUAAUUUUGACAUGUUGCAACGGCGUAGGAUUUGCCUUACAGAAUAACAAAAA
rnacentral:rRNA from 1 species